rnacentral:rRNA from 1 species
GACGAACGCUGGCGGCGUGCUUAACACAUGCAAGUCGAACGAAGUGGCGAACGGGUGAGUAACGCGUAAUCAACCUGCCCUUCGGAGGGGUACAACAGUUGGCAACGACUGCUAAUACCGCAUACUCAAGUUGGUGCUUGCGUCUGAUUAGCUAGUGGGGGGGGUAACGGCCCAACAAGGCGAUGAUCAGUAGCCGGUCUGAGAGGAUGAACGGACACAGUGGGACUGAGACAAGGCCCAGACUCCUACGGGAGGCAGCAGUGGGGAAUCUUCGGCAAUGGACGAAAGGCUGACGGAGCAAAGCCGGGGGAGUGGUGAAGGCCUUCGGGUUGGAAAGCUCUGUUAAGCGGGACGCGGUACCGGAAUAGAAAGCCACGGCUAACUACGUGCCAGCAGCCGCGGUAAUAC